rnacentral:RNase_P_RNA from 1 species
CAGGCCGGCCGGGCGGUCGCGCCCUGCCUCGCGCAGGGUGAGGAAAGUCCGGACUCCACAGGGCACGGUGCUGGGUAACACCCAGACGGGGUAACCCGUGGACAGGGCCACAGAAACAGACCGCCAGCGGGAGGGGCCUUGGGGUCCCUCUGCGGGCAAGGGUGAAAAGGUGGUGUAAGAGACCACCGGCGCGCUGGGUGACCGGCGCGGCCAGGCAACCCCCACCGGGAGCAAGGCCAAGCAGGGGGGAAGCGCGGUCGGCUCGGCCGGUCGCGCGGGAGGCGGCCCGUCUCCCUGGACCCCCGGGUGGGCCGCAUGAGGCGGCGGGCAACCGCCGUCCCAGAUAGAUGACCGCCACCCCGACCUCCGUCGGGGGACAGAAUCCGGCUUACAGGCCGACCUGGGCU